rnacentral:rRNA from 1 species
AAUAGAUACCCCGGUAGUCCACGCCCUAAACGAUGCUCACUAGGUGUUGGGGAAGCGAUUCCUUGGUACCGUAGCUAACGCGUGAAGUGAGCCGCCUGGGGAGUACGGCCGCAAGGUUAAAACUCAAAGGAAUUGACGGGGACCCGCACAAGCGGUGGAUGAUGUGGAUUAAUUCGAUGCAACGCGAACAACCUUACCUACCCUUGACAUGUCGCGAAUCCUGCUGAGAGGCGGGGGUGCCCGAAAGGGAACGCGAACACAGGUGCUGCAUGGCUGUCGUCAGCUCGUGUCGUGAGAUGUUGGGUUAAGUCCCGCAACGAGCGCAACCCUUGUCCCUAGUUGCUACGCAAGGGCACUCUAGGGAGACUGCCGGUGACAAACCGGAGGAAGGUGGGGAUGACGUCAAGUCCUCAUGGCCCUUAUGGGUAGGGCUUCACACGUCAUACAAUGGACGGUACAGAGGGUUGCCAACCCGGCGAGGGGGGAGCCAAUCCCAGAAAGCCGUUCGUAGUCCGGAUUGCAGUCUGCAACUCGACUGCA